rnacentral:lncRNA from 1 species
CCUAAUUUUGCUAACGUUAAGGGUACUUUUGAAAAAAAAUUAGUUUAGGGUGAAAAUGAGACAUUCGUGUAAACAUCAGGAGUAUUUUUGGACCUUAUCCCAAUAUAUUUAUAGUCGAAUGUUAAACGAAUACAAAUACGCCUAUAUCUGUAUUCGUAUCCGUUUAUUUGCGAAUACUUUUAAAUCGAAUACAGAUGUAACACUCCCUUCCCGAAAAGGAAAGAGAGGUCACGUACAAAGCACAACAAACCUCAAAAUAAGUAAACAGAGCACUAACAACUUUAAAAUAUUAGUAGUGAUAUCCAUCAAUGAAGUACUAAAUACAAUUCUCCAACUAGAGUCAAAAUAAUCAAAACUAAAAAAAGUUGAAUCAACCUAGAUGGUCAAAGACAACUCUCUCAUCAAACUAGCCCUGAAUCACCCCUGCAAACCUGCUGGAAGAAAAACACAACAUGAGCCAAUUGUCCAGUACGGAUAUAGAUAAUACAAAUAUGUAUAACUGAAAUACAAAAUCAACUGAAGCAAUAUACUUAACAAAGCCUCAAGCUUAAAGACUGACAAAAAUAUGAUAUCCAACGUCUGAAUAGAAUAUAUCCAAAUCAACAGAUUUAACGAGACAAACAGAAGAGUGAAGAAUGAACUGAAGUAACUAACUCAGUUAAUUAAACAGAACAUAAACAAACAAAACUAAUACAAUGAAAUAAUAGGCUGAAUCAUAUAGCUGGGUGAUAUUUCAUACCGAGUGAGCUCAGAAAUAUACAUUGCCACACAGGCAAGUCAAAACAAUGCCACACAGGCAAGCCAAAAUAAUGCCACACAGGCAAAUCACACAUUGGACCGCGAAUCCAAAUGUAUGCAAAUCAGAUAGGUGUGUUUGACACAACAUCACCAAUCCGCAGAACAGAAAACUAGGGUUAACCAAUAUGCCUCCCACAACAAAACACCAAAUGGCACACUUCCUCCGGAACCCAAAACGGAGACGCCAUGGACUAAUCACACCGCCACGAAAAGUGUCAUGCCUCUCGUUCCAAGACGACAUGCCUGUAGUACCCCCACAGGUGGUUAUAACUCAGGUAUACCCUACGAUAUAUUCUAACAAAAAUACUAUGUCACAACACAUGCGACAUAAUACCAACAAAAAUGUUCUAUAUGUACAUGUUAAACCAAAUCAAAUUAUAGUCACAAGGUUUCAAAAAGAAGGUAGCAACAUGUACCACUCUAUAAUUAUCAAAAAUAAAUACUAAACAUGAUAUCCUAAUUCAAAAAGUACAAAUACGAGUCAUGUGUAUCAACUCCAAAAUGAAACUAAUAUAUUUAUUUCACAGGAAACAAUUAUGCGAAAUCAUAACAAAAUUCAAAAUAAAGAAACAAACGAACAAAUCAAAUUUAACAAAAGUAUCGCUGAAAGAGUACGAAAUCCGUACCUGAAUUGAGCAACGUAAUACCCAAAAUUUAUAUUCCAAAUAUAACUCGUUAAGUUCCUUCCGUCCAAACUAAUUACACAAAUUAAUAAUACUAAAUGUAAGUACAUUUAUAAAAAUAUAAACACUUCUAUUUGGUACGACUAUAAAAUAUAAUUACUUAUAAUAUUAAGAUUUAAUUCAUUCCAUAUAAUCUUACAUAUUUAUUUGUAUAACAUCUCUUGCAAAUUUUGUAAGUUUUCGUAAACUUUAAUUACUACUGCUAUAUAUUUUUAUUUAUUUAAAGAAAUCAUCAAUUUAUUAUUUUAGUAUCUCCAAAAUCAAUCACAGACUACUCCCUCCGUUCAAUCUGAUUGAAAUAAAGUGAUAAUAAUAAUAAGUACAUCCGUAUAAGUAUUACAUUAAUAAAUAAACUCUCCCAUCUUUAAAGAUCGCUCAUAGUUCUUGAAUUACAAAAAUAUUUGCUCAUGAUGAAAAAACAACAUACUAAAUUUAAUAAUUUAAUAUGGAACCACAUGAUUUAUCCCCACUUUAUAUAAUGUAUAAUAUACUUACUUGUUACUGAUGAAAUUUCCUCAGUAGUGAUCAAAAUCUCUAGUCUUUCUUCACCCGAGCCCCCUUUGUAGCUGUUCUCUUUAUCUCCAAAGUAGCCACCUCUUCUUAUUCAGUUGUAUAAUGAAGUAAUAUUAAGUUUAGCUAUUUAUUAAUUAAGUUGCCCUAAUAAACUUCUAUUUGGGUUAAAUUAAUAUUAAAGCCCAAAUUUUAACCACAUAAUAUUAUAUAUCACUUAUUAAUAUUUAUUAGCCCACAUAAUUUAAAUAACUACUUUGACCCAAUUUAAAGACAAAAAAAAUUCAAACAAUAUAUUUAAAACACAAACAUAAAUACUUCUUUUUUUCGGGUAUUACAUUACCUCCCCCUUAAAAAAAAUUCCGUCCCCGGAAUCAAAAGAAUGAAAAGUACCUAAUUAUCAAAAAGAUGCGGAUACUCCGCUCGAAUAGACUCCUCAAUCUCCUAAGUAGCUCCGCGCUCCGGAUGAAUAUUUUUUGGAAUAUUCUAAUCAAAUUAGAAUAGAAUUAGUUCAGGGUGAAAAUAGGACAUUCGUGUAAACAUCAGGAGUAUUUUUGGACCUUAUCCCAAUAUAUUUAUAGUCGGAUGUUAAACGAAUACGAAUACACCUAUAUCUGUAUUCGUAUCCGUUUAUUUGCGAAUACUUUUAAACCGAAUACAGAUGUAACACUCCCUUCCCGAAAAGAAAAGAGAGGUCACGUACAAAGCACAACAAACCUCAAAAUAAGUAAACAGAACACUAACAACUUCAAAAUAUUAGUAGUGAUAUCCAUCAAUGAAGUACUAAAUACAAUUCUCUAACUAGAGUCAAAAUAAUCAAAACUAAAAAAAGUUGAAUCAACCUAGAUGGUCAAAGACAACUCUCUCAUCAAACUAGCCCUGAAUCACCCCUGCAAACCUGCUGGAAGAAAAACACAACAUGAGCCAAUUGUCCAGUACGGAUAUAGAUAAUACAAAUAUGUAUAACUGAAAUACAAAAUCAACUGAAGCAAUAUACUUAACAAAGCCUCAAGCUUAAAGACUGACGAAAAUAUGAUAUCCAACGUCUGAAUAGAAUAUAUCCGAAUCAACAGAUUUAACGAGACAAACAGAAGAGUGAAGAAUGAACUGAAGUAACUAACUCAAUUAAUUAAACAGAACAUAAACAAACAAAACUAAUACAAUGAAAUAAUAGGCUGAAUCAAAUAGCUGAGUGAUAUUUCAUACCGAGUGAGCUCAGAAAUAUACAUUGCCACACAGGCAAGUCAAAACAAUGCCACACAGGAUGAAUAUUUUUUUUUCACAAAAUUUUAACAAAUGGGAUUGUCUUCCUCCUCAUAACCCGCUUUUGACAAUCUAAAAUUAUCUCAAGUUGCUUACUUCUUCAAAAUUGUAAAGGACGAAAAACUGAAGGAACCUGAUUUGGAUUCACUCAAUUCCGACAUCAGAUGAAUUAAUUAUAAUUUUUCUAAUGGACUGCAGCACGUAUAAAUAUUCUACUCGAAAAUUCAACUAAUCAAAUUAGAAUAGGAUUAAAGUUAAAACUUCACUCUUUAAAUAUAAAUAUAGCUCAAUAUAGGAGCUACCAAAACUCUAAUGGACUUCCCAUUUUUAAUUUAAUCGAUUAUUUAAUUAUCUACUAAAAUAAUUUAACUUUCCAAACAAAACAAAGAAAAAAAAAUAGUCACUUACCUUUUCCAAUUUGAAUACAAUUGUAUAAAAUAAAAUUAAUUAAUAUUUAAAUUUUAAAAAAAUUUGGGUUAUUACAACAAAUAUAUCCGUUUUUUUCGAAUACGAAUAAUAUCCGCUUUUUUCCGAAUACAAAUGCAAGCAAAUACAAAUUUUUUAGUUACCAUUUACAGCCCUAACUACUACUAUAGUCCUCAAACUUGUUCUCUCUCUUCUAUAACAUCCAAUCUCACUAAAUUGAUAAAACAGGGCAAUUACAAUUGAGAUGAGGGAACAUAAAAGUAAGUCAAGAAGAUAGUGCGGGUGUACAAAAUGAAAAGCCAAGAGGAGCACCAUGCAUGAAAAUUAGAGAAUGACUGGCUUCCACAACCCUUAAUCCCUUAAACUAAGCCAUAGCAAUUGUGUUUCAUUUGUUUUACGAUGCACACCCAUACUCGUAAAGAACUCUAGAUACCGCUACACCGCCUUUGUCAUAACAUUGGACUCAAUUGUGAACCAAUAUUUCAUGCUCAGCAAGUCUAAAAUCUAGUAAGAUCACAAUACUAGAUGAUCUGUUACAUAAAAAAGAUACAGAGAAACUAUGCAUACCAACUAGAAUUUAGUGCCCAAAAUAAGAACAUGCAUUUUAAAAUUUAAAAGUCUCAACAUACAAUUUCUACAUUGGAUGUGAAAAUACUGCAUAUUUUAUUUGGAAUUCGAGAGAAAAUGUGCUAAAGCAGCCAUCUAAAAAUAAGAAACUCUUACAUUUAAUUACGAAAGGAAAGGACUUUCGAAAAGUUGUUGGAUGCUUGAAAAAGAAUCCCAUAAACAUAUAACACAACUAACAGAAAACAUUCAUGAUCCAACUGUAAGGGAACUGUUUAAAAUCCAAAUGAGCAAUCUUUAGCAGUAAUAUACUUCAAGAUAUUGUAUAUCCAUCAAUGUCUACAUUUUUCAUUGCAACCCCUUACUUGUGGCCAAUGUUAACUACCAAACAAAAAUUAAUUUAUAUAUCUAUGCCUAAGCAUGAACAACGAAUGCUAAUACAAAAUAAUUUUGUGCCUGAAAAUUUACAUCCCUAGCAAUGGCAGCUAAAUUUCAUCCUCCUAACACUAAAUUUUCUGUGUUUUAAUGGAAAAGGUAUUCAAUCUAGGAAAUUAUUAACACAGUUUAAAUGCAAAACUGUCCCAUUCUAAACAGCAUAUCAGCAUAACCAGAUCUAAUUUACCAACAAAUAGUAAGAAGAAAAGAGAACAUAUUUCCAGAAAAUAAGGUCCAUGGAUUCCGGAAUCGAAGAAAAAGUACUUGCGCUAAGCAAAAAAAAUAAUACAGAAAACUGAAACAGAGCCUAAAGGCUAGAACAGUACUGAGAGCCUGCAGGAGGGGUAUCGAUGACUAACAGAUAAAUUACUUGGAUCUCUGCCUCAUCUUUCGGCGCUUCCUCUUCAACCUCCUCAUUCUCUUCUUCUUCCACUGCAAAAUCAUAUUCAAUUUCAAACAAUCAAUUUCGUUAUCCAUUUAUGGAAAAUGGUAAAUUCAAGAUAUGAGCUAAAAUCAAUUCAAAAAUGAUAAAUUUAGGUAUCGGAGAUUGAGGAGUUACCUUGGCCCUCAUGGUGAUGAGUUUGGAAUUCUUUUGUCUCUCUUCUCUUCCAAAACCCUAGCAAAACUGGGGAGGAAAUGAGACGGAAGAUAAAUGAGAGUUACGGCUUUGACGUUUAUUUAUAGUGAACAGAACCCUAGCCAAUAAACAGUCCACAUAAAGAG